UGAAGAGUUUGAUCAUGGCUCAGAUUGAACGCUGGCGGCAGGCCUAACACAUGCAAGUCGAACGGAAACAUGUCUAGCUUGCUAGAUGAUGUCGAGUGGCGGACGGGUGAGUAAUGCCUGGGAAUUUGCCUUUGUGUGGGGGAUAACUAUUGGAAACGAUAGCUAAUACCGCAUGAUACCUACGGGUCAAAGGGGGCUUCGGCUCCCGCGCAAAGAGAAGCCCAGGUGAGAUUAGCUAGUUGGUGAGGUAAAGGCUCACCAAGGCGACGAUCUCUAGCUGUUCUGAGAGGAAGAUCAGCCACACUGGAACUGAGACACGGUCCAGA
rnacentral:rRNA from 1 species